rnacentral:rRNA from 1 species
AGCUCCAAUAGCGUAUAUUAAAGUUGUUGCAGUUAAAAAGCUCGUAGUUGGAUUUGUGGUUGUCUCGGUCUGUCCUUCACUUAGUGUUGGAUUAGAAGGAGUCGCCAUCCUUGGGUGGAUCCUGUGUGGCAUUAGGUUGUCGUGCAGGGGAUGCCCAUCUUUUACUGUGAAAAAAUUAGAGUGUUCAAAGCAGGCUUAUGCCGUUGAAUAUAUUAGCAUGGAAUAAUAAGAUAGGACCUUGGUACUAUUUUGUUGGUUUGCGCACCAAGGUAAUGAUUAAUAGGGACAGUUGGGGGUAUUCGUAUUCCAUUGUCAGAGGUGAAAUUCUUGGAUUUCUGGAAGACGAACUACUGCGAAAGCAUUUACCAAGGAUGUUUUCAUUAAUCAAGAACGAAAGUAG